rnacentral:rRNA from 1 species
CGCGUAGGCGGCCUUCUAAGUCGAACGUGAAAUCCCCGGGCUCAACCCGGGAACUGCGUCCGAGACUGGAAGGCUUUGAAUCCGGGAGAGGGAUGUGGAAUUCCAGGUGUAGCGGUGAAAUGCGUAGAUAUCUGGAGGAACAUCGGUGGCGAAGGCGGCAUCCUGGACCGGUAUUGACGCUGAGGCGCGAAAGCCAGGGGAGAAACG